rnacentral:lncRNA from 1 species
UGAAGGUCAAGAUAAUCUCCUAACUUCUGAUCAAAUGGAUCUCUAUCCACCAGGCCAGUGUAGAGACGGGGUUUCACCAUAUUGGUUAAGCUGGUCUGAAGCUCCUGACCUCAAAUGAUCCGCCUCGGCCUCCCAAAGUGCUGGAAUUACAGGCUUGAGCCACCAUGCCCAGCCAACCCUAUAGCUUUGCUUGUUCAUCCUGGGAAGGAACUGUGCAAGUUGGCGCUUCGGGCUUGGUAUAAAAACGGCUCCUGAAUUCCUGCCCAGUUGUAAUUUCCUUGGGGAUUUUGAGAGGGGCUCUUCAACGUUGCCAGGCUAUCACGGCCCUUUUGUUUGCAAGAGAGCAUUCCUGGACAAAACAUCUUCCAGAUUGCGGGUGAAUUUAAACAUCGCAGCUUCUUCUUUCAAUCAUAAUUUUCUGCUUGAGCCAAAAGCUGGAGUGUCCUCUUGCACCUGGAUUCCCCUCUGCCGCGGUUGAAAUGGGAGCGUGUAACUCUUUAUAUGUGAGACGUUUAUGGGCCAGACACUGGCAUUCCAACCCCCUCACCCAGGGCACUUGCUAUAAAAUAUUGAAGGCGAGCAGAGGCUAUCCUUGGAGGGAAUGCUGGUGAUGCCAGGCUCAUAAAAACCAGCCUUUUAAAAAUGAGUCCCUAAUCAGGAAUUGCACGCCCUCUCCCUCUCCAGUGCGCUCUGGCCUGGCAAAGCCCACUUGGGAAAGUAGGUGCUACUGAAAAGAGUCACUAGCCUCUACCUGUGGGACUUCUGUCUCCAGGGUGCUUCCAAAAUCUUUCGGGACUCUGUGUUCAGGACUAGAACUCUUCAUCCACGGGGCUCCAGUGCAACCCCCUCCAACCCCCAUCAGGAUCUGAAGGCAAGGAGGACCAGCGUCCAGGACCCGGUUUCUGCGCCCCCAGGCUCUGUAGAAGUUCUGGGAAGAAGUUCUCAUGGAAGCUGAGGGGAGGGAGACGCACGUCGGCGAACUCUGGGCCUAGCCAAGUUUCUAUAUUUUGAAGGGAGAACCAUGUACCUGCCCUUGGCCUCACCUGAAGACAAACACAGGAGCAAAAUUAAGCAGCGGAGCAACUUUCUGGAAAGGAGCUUAGGGAGAGAAAGCUGGUGCGAAACCGAGUGCGCGCUAGGCGUGUGCACCCGGGGAACAAGGCGUGCCCAGGGGUGUUCGCAGUGGCGGUGGGAUGGAUGCCCGCGCCACCUAUGCGCAGUUAUUUAUAAACUCAUUGUGGGCAUCAGGGUACCCACGACGCCGUUCGUGUCGUUCGUUCCCUUCCUCCUGGAAGGGAAGAGCAAACAAAGCAGUCCUUGGCAACGCUCAACCUCUCUGUGUCAUACAUGUGGUUUUCAGUGUAAAUGAAUUUAGUAAACGCCAAGGCAACAACCCUGUUUACUUGUUUCCGUGUAGAAAGGUUAGCUAACGAACCCGAAGCCAUCCUUCGCGCUUCUCUUUGAUUCCGUCUCAGAUUUACGGGCUUCUCCUCGGCUACACGACUCCAGCCAUCGCCCCCGCUCCCUUGGCCCAGGCAAAGAGAGCCCUAGGCUCCGAUUCCCGCCGCAGCUCAGAGCAAAGCGAUUGCAGGAUUUAUCAACCCCCCUCCCAGGACCUCGGAUUUCAUCUCUUUCUUUUCCCCCUGCAUGUUCAGUUUGUUUUUUCAAGACCUAAGCAAUUUUUAAUGUACUCUAUACUUCCCGCUUAAUCCUCAUCGUUUAUUGUAUAAUUAUAGUUUCAAAGUGAUUAUGUAAUUAAAAUCAUGUUUCGUUGCAGCAGGACUUCAAAAGGGCGGCAGACCCCCGCUCUGGCAUUAUUUUCUAGUGAUGUAAUAAUUUCCCUGUGAUAUUUAAAAUAAACACAUUAGUCCAAGAAUUCUAAACAUGUCUCAAAGUAUAUAGUAGGCUUGAUUGGCACGAGGCUGGGUUGUAAAGAAAUGGUAAAACCUAUCACUAGUUUAAUAUAUUUCUAUGCUCCCAUGCAGGGUAAAUUAUAGGAUAAUGGGGCGCAGGCGAUGGUAAGCUCUGUUUAUAUAAUCCAUUUCUUCACACGAGUUCCCAUUGCUUUCCCUUCCCUUUGCUGUAUGUGGUGGUUCUCUGAUCCCCUGACCUCAGCCAUGUGUUUUCACUUUUUCUUCUGAUCUCAAUUCCAUGACCAGCGGGGAAUAAAAUACAAAUUGAAUAGUAACCAUUCACAGGCCGCUCUUUUCAAACUGUUGUUAAAACCUCUUUGUCUUGUCUAGCGGUUGAUAGAUAAAUGUGUUGUGUUUCGCCUGACUUUUUU